rnacentral:other from 1 species
UGCAACCUGACUUGUGCGUAUGGAUUAUCAUGGUUUUGAUCCUAUAAUGUGACAGGGAACUAAAUGUUAAGUUAUUACAACAGGCCCUUUUCUAGGGAAGUUGGAAAGUUUGAACUAGGUGCCCACCUGCGAAAGCGGGGUCAGAAACCUGAAGUCUUACGGCAAGUUGGGGAAG